ACAUGCAAGUCGAACGGGAGAAUUGUUUGCUUGCUAAUAAUUCUCUAGUGACGCACGGGUGAGUAACACGUGAGUAACCUGCCUCUUAGUGGGGGAUAGCCCUGGGAAACCGGGAUUAAUACCGCAUACGAUUGAAAGAUCAAAGCAGCAAUGCGCUAGGAGAUGGGCUCGCGGCCUAUUAGUUAGUUGGUGAGGUAACGGCUCACCAAGGCGAUGACGGGUAGCCGGUCUGAGAGGAUGUCCGGCCACACUGGAACUGAGACACGGUCCAGACACCUACGGGUGGCAGCAGUCGAGAAUCAUUCACAAUGGGGGCAACCCUGAUGGUGCGACGCCGCGUGGGGGAAUGAAGGUCUUCGGAUUGUAAACCCCUGUCAUGUGGGAGCAGAUUAAAAAGAUAGUACCACAAGAGGAAGAGACGGCUAACUCUGUGCCAGCAGCCGCGGUAAUACAGAGGUCUCAUGCGUUGUUCGGAAUCACUGGGCGUAAAGCGUGCGUAGGCUGUUUCGUAAGUCGUGUGUGAAAGGCAGGGGCUCAACCCCUGGAUUGCACAUGAUACUGCGAGACUAGAGUAAUGGAGGGGGAACCGGAAUUCUCGGUGUAGCAGUGAAAUGCGUAGAUAUCGAGAGGAACACUCGUGGCGAAGGCGGGUUCCUGGACAUUAACUGACGCUGAGGCACGAAGGCCAGGGGAGCGAAAGGGAUUAGAUACCCCUGUAGUCCUGGCAGUAAACGGUGCACGCUUGGUGUGCGGGGAAUCGACCCCCUGCGUGCCGGAGCUAACGCGUUAAGCGUGCCGCCUGGGGAGUACGGUCGCAAGAUUAAAACUCAAAGAAAUUGACGGGGACCCGCACAAGCGGUGGAGUAUGUGGCUUAAUUCGAUGCAACGCGAAGAACCUUACCUGGGCUUGACAUGUAAUGAACAACAUGUGAAAGCAUGCGACUCUUCGGAGGCGUUACACAGGUGCUGCAUGGCCGUCGUCAGCUCGUGUCGUGAGAUGUUUGGUUAAGUCCAGCAACGAGCGCAACCCCUGUUGCCAGUUACCAGCACGUCAAGGUGGGGACUCUGGCGAGACUGCCCAGAUCAACUGGGAGGAAGGUGGGGACGACGUCAGGUCAGUAUGGCCCUUAUGCCCAGGGCUGCACACGUACUACAAUGCCCAGUACAGAGGGGGCCGAAGCCGCGAGGCGGAGGAAAUCCUGAAAACUGGGCCCAGUUCGGACUGUAGGCUGCAACCCGCCUACACGAAGCCGGAAUCGCUAGUAAUGGCGCAUCAGCUACGGCGCCGUGAAUACGUUCCCGGGUCUUGUACACACCGCCCGUCACAUCAUGGAAGCCGGUCGCACCCGAAGUAUCUGAAGCCAACCGCAAAGAGGCAGGGUCCUAAGGUGAGACUGGUAACUGGG
rnacentral:rRNA from 1 species